GACGAACGCUGGCGGCGUGCUUAACACAUGCAAGUCGAGCGGUAAGGCCCUUUCGGGGGUACACGAGCGGCGAACGGGUGAGUAACACGUGGGUGACCUGCCCUUAGCUCUGGGAUAAGCCUGGGAAACUGGGUCUAAUACCGGAUAGCCUUUCGAGCUCUCGGGCUCGUCAGAAAAGGAUGGCUUCGGCUUUCGGUUGAGGAUGAGCUUGCGGCGGAUUAGCUUGUUGGUGAGGUAACGGCUCACCAAGGCGACAAUACCGUAGCUGGUCUGAGAGGACGAUCAGCCACACUGGGACUGAGACACGGCCCAGACUCCUUACGGGAGGGCAGCAGUGGGGAAGUCUUGCGCAAUGGGCGAAAGACCUGACGCAGCGACGCCGCGUGCGGGAAGAAGGCCU
rnacentral:rRNA from 1 species